rnacentral:tRNA from 1 species
AGAUAUGUAUUUAAAUUAUAAACUCUAACUUGCAAUUAGAAAUUACUUUCCGGUCUUAUCUA